CAGGCGAGGUUCUUCAGCGUCACCUGCAGCAGUGGCCGUUCGUCCCUUCGUCCCCAGCAGCCGAGGUCACUCAUCCGGGUCGUCCUCUUCGCCCCUCUACCAAAGGAAGAGAUAAUUUCCUGUGAGGGAAGGAAACAACAAUAUCAACAUAAUCUAGGAGGAAAAGGAGGAGGAGAAAGAGGAGAAGGAAGAGGAGGAGGAGGAAACAGAAGAUAAGGAGAAGGACAAAUAGAAUGUCAAGAAAAACAAGAAAAGCAGAGGAGGAAAAAGGAGGAGGAGCUGGAAUAGGAGGAGGAGAAGGAGGAAGAAGAAGAAAAGAACAAAAGAACAAAAGAACAACAACAACAACAACAACAACAACAACCAUAUAAAGGAGGAAGAGAAGGAGGAUGAGAAGAAGAAGAAGAAAUCUGACGAAAUGAAAGUCGAAGAGUGAAAAGAAAAGAAAAUAAAACGUAAGAGAAACAGAAAUGUGGACAAAAUUGAGGAUAAAGUAGGACAGAUGGGCAAGAAAUAAAGAAAACGGAAAGAAAAUGGUGUGGAAAAAAGAAAAAUCCUGGUGGAAAGAGGAAAGAGGAAAGAGGAACUAAGUAAGAUUGAAGAAAGGACACGUAAGAAAGAAGAGAAAGGAGAGAUGAUAAUGUGGAAGAGAGAUAGUGGAGACGAUAAUGGAAAGGAGGUGGAGAAGCAGGAGGAGGAGGAGGAGGAGGUAUUUAGGGUGGAAUUAAAAGCAUGAGUGGGAAUAGGAGGAGGAGGAGGAGGAGGAGAAAGAAGAGGAGGAGGAAUAAGAAGAGUUGAAAGAUAAAAAUACAUAGAAAUAGAAGAAGGGAGGAAGGAAAAACAGAGAAAUGGGAAGACCGCGCAGGGAUUGAGAUGAAAAAAGGAGAAGGAGGAGGGGGAGGAGGAGGAGGAAAAUGUAGGGGAGCAGAAAUGGAGGAGAGAGGAAAAAGAAGA